CUCCUCCUUUUGUUGAAUGAGAUUUUGACUUGAGUGUCGGAGAGUCCUUACCGGAACCACCUCUGGUUUGAACUUUUUUGCAGGUCGCGCGCCUAGGAGGCCCAUCUCACCAUCAACUCCAGUAUUCCGACACCGAAUGAUUUCUCGCACCAAUAGAUUGAUGCUAAAGGAAGGACUUUGACCCAUUUUUAGAGGAGUAC
rnacentral:lncRNA from 1 species